AUUGAACGCUGGCGGCAGGCCUAACACAUGCAAGUCGAGCGGUGCGGCGGACGGGCGAGUAAUGCCUAGGUAUCUGCCUGGUAGUGGGGGAUAGCGUACGGUACCGGGCGCUAAUACCGCAUCCUAUCAGCUGAGCCUAGGUCGGAUUAGCUAGUUGGUGGGGUAAAGGCCUACCAAGGCGACGAUCCGUAACUGGUCUGAGAGGAUGAUCAGUCACACUGGAACUGAGACACGGUCCAGACUCCUACGGGAGGCAGCAGUGGGGAAUAUUGGACAAUGGGCGAAAGCCUGAUCCAGCCAUGCCGCGUGUGCGAAGAAGGUCUUCGGAUUGUAAAGCACUUUAAGUUGGGAGGCGUUACCAACAGAAUAAGCACCGGCUAACUUCGUGCCAGCCGCCGCGGUAAUAC
rnacentral:rRNA from 1 species